rfam:Populus trichocarpa isolate Nisqually-1 chromosome 3, whole genome shotgun sequence.
GUCUCUUUAGGAACAUUUGAUAAAAUUGGAAGAAUACAUAAAAGAUUAGCUUGUUCUUGCACAAGUAUGACAUGUAACUUCGAUUCUUCCAAAUGUUCU